GUUGUAUAUGCAAGGCAAACAUAGUAGAAGUGCUGAAUGGAAAUGGUUGGUACUACAUCUGCUGCCCAAAUUGUGCAAGGACCGUCCGGCCAGUGGAGGGAAAAUAUUCAUGCACACAAUGUCCGAGAGCGGACAUUCAAUAUACCCAACGAGUCGUGGUGCGUGGUGAGGAUGAUUCGGGAACGACAACCUUUACUCUGUUCAACAAGGAAGCUGAGCAGAUUAUCGGCGUCCCGAUACAGACACUCUUAAGCGAGGAAGGCGAGAUUGUUGCUGGGCUGUUGCCAGUGCCUAUUGUGUGGGAGCUGUCCGUACGAAUCAAAUCAAGUCUCCGGAGUUCAUCAAUCUUGCCCCUCAGUUCUUGAUAGAUUAUGUGCUGUAUGCUUAUCUAACUAGCGUAGCUAGAAAUAGGAGAAACUUUAUUUUUGAUAGAUUUGGAUGCUAUUGUUUAAGCCCUCCGACAACUUUGGAAUUUGCAUGCCGAUAUGGGAUUAGGUAUGAGAGAGAUCAUUCUUUCACGGGAUGGAGAAAAGAGUUUCCUCCUCGUCCCAAUUCUCAGAGUUUUCAUGAUCUGGGGAAGAUCGGUGUUAAAGGCCUGACUAAAGACGCACCUCUGGCCCACUGAUGGGAACGAUUGUCAUGUCAACUGAAUUUAGGACUUAUAAGAGAGAAAUCAUUUCGAAGAGGGGCAGACCCGGUGAUUUUAAACAUUAUAUAGCGAUUUUGAAUAAGGAAGGCUGUUUUAAAUUUCAAAACAGCGAUUUUGAAUGGGGAGUGAAUAAGGAAGGCUGGGUUUGGAUUUUAUAUAGGCUGGUGACGAACAUUUUAUCUAUUGGUGUCACAACUGCCCAUCCUGAAAAUGAGUAUGAGUUUCCUCCAAUUCCUAUCAGGUGUAGGUGGGGUCCGGGGUCCAGUAAAGGGGCCGAGGUCUGUGAGGAUUCGGCGUGGUUAUAUCCAACCUACCGGAUGCAAUCGACCCCCUUGCAGAAAUCUGAACACGGAUAAUCCUAUUGGUAUGUUUAUGUUAUGACUGUCAAUGCAGUACAAUGACAAUGGCCCAAUUUUUCAAAAUUCUUUUUUGUGCAGGGGGCAAAGUUCUAGAAACAGCACCUGGAAUGAUGACUCCUGAUACAACAAAAUUGGUAAAAUAUUUAGUAUAACGAGUAUUGUAAUUCCAAAUUAUUGUGACAUUAAAUUUUGAGAUAGUUGUUAUACGUCAUACUAGUUAUACUACAUAAUAGAUCCACAGAUUCAAGUUUACUACAUGUUAUGUAAGUUUUCAGAGCAAUCCACAGAUUCAUGGCAAGUAGUUCCAAGCUUUUACGCUCAUGCAUGAACAUAAUAGAUCGAAGAACCAAACAGAAUGUUGUGCGCUCUCUUGCCUUGAGGAAAGUUAAGGAGUUAGAAACACCUUAAUGUGUCAGGGUUCGGGGUUCGGGGUUCCGGGUUCAGGGCCGAUUGCCCCAAAUAUGGUCGUGACCAAAUUCAUAUAUCCAUACGAACCCAUUUAUGUGAGAAUAUCAAAAGAAACUUCCCGGUGAAAUUUUCAUGAAAUUCCCUUGUACUAACCCGUUUGAGAAUUCGUCAAAAACUCAAACUUCGUUAUAUCUGCUCCGAUUCAGUCCCGAUUGACCUAAAUAUGGUCGUGACCAAAUUCAUAUAUCCAUAGGGACCCAUUUAUGUGAAAAUAUCAAAAGAAACUUCCCGGUGAAAUUUUCAUGAAAUUCCCGUGUAUUAACCCCUUUGAGAAUUCGUCAAAAACUCGAACUUCAUUAUAUCUACUCCGA